GAUGAACGCUGGCAGCGUGCCUAAUACAUGCAAGUCGAGCGAACAGACGAGGAGCUUGCUCCUCUGACGUUAGCGGCGGACGGGUGAGUAACACGUGGAUAACCUACCUAUAAGACUGGGAUAACUUCGGGAAACCGGAGCUAAUACCGGAUAAUAUAUUGAACCGCAUGGUUCAAUAGUGAAAGACGGUUUUGCUGUCACUUAUAGAUGGAUCCGCGCCGCAUUAGCUAGUUGGUAAGGUAACGGCUUACCAAGGCAACCAUGCGUAGCCGACCUGAGAGAGUGGUCGGCCACACUGGAACUGAGACACGGUCCAGACUCCUACGGGAGGCAGCAGUAGGGAAUCUGCCGCAAUGGGCGAAAGCCUGACGGAGCAACGCCGCGUGAGUGAUGAAGGUCUUCGGAUCGUAAAACUCUGUUAUUAGGGAAGAACAAAUGUGUAAGUAACUAUGCACGUCUUGACGGUACCGAAUCAGAAAGCCACGGCUAACUACGUG
rnacentral:rRNA from 1 species